rnacentral:rRNA from 1 species
GACGAGGGGUCCUAGCGUUGUUCGGAAUCACUGGGCGUAAAGCGUAUGUAGGCGGCUUUUCAAGUCAGGUGUGAAAUCCCAUGGCUUAACCAUGGAACUGCAUUUGAAACUGUAAAGCUUGAGUAUUGGAGAGGAUGGUAGAAUUCCUGGUGUAGUGGUGAAAUACGUAGAUAUCAGGAGGAAUACCGGUGGCGAAGGCGGCCAUCUGCCAAAUACUGACGCUGAGAUACGAAAGUGUGGGGAUCAAACAGG